rnacentral:rRNA from 1 species
GACGAACGCUGGCGGCGUGCUUAACACAUGCAAGUGGAGCGACGAACCGGGCUUCGGCCCGGGGCAGAGCCGCGAACGGGUGAGUAACACGUGGGUGACCUGCCCUGAUGACCGGGACAACCCGAGGAAACUCGGGCUAAUACCGGAUGUGCUCCCAGCCAUAGCCGGCUGGGUGGAAAGGUAGCUUCGGCUUCCGCGUCAGGAUGGGCCCGCGGCGCAUUAGCUUGUUGGUGGGGUAAUGGCCUACCAAGGCGACGAUGCGUAGCUGGUCUGAGAGGACGAUCAGCCACACUGGGACUGAGACACGGCCCAGACUCCUACGGGAGGCAGCAGUGGGGAAUCUUGCGCAAUGCGCGAAAGCGUGACGCAGCAACGCCGCGUGGGGGAAGAAGGCCUUCGGGUUGUAAACCUCUUUCAGUUGGGACGAAGGUUCGGCGGUGAAUAGCCGUCCGGACUGACGGUACCUUCACAAGAAGCCCCGGCUAACUACGUGCCAGCCGCCGCCGUAACAC